GCUGCGCUGGCUCGGACACGAGUCGGUCGCGGUACUCGACGGCGGCCUGCAAGCGUGGGAAGCCGCCGGGUUCAAGCUCGACGCCGCACC
rnacentral:tRNA from 1 species